UACGAAGGGGGCUAGCGUUGUUCGGAUUUACUGGGCGUAAAGCGCACGUAGGCGGUUCGAUCAGUCAGGGGUGAAAUCCCAGAGCUCAACUCUGGAACUGCCUUUGAUACUGCGUGGCUUGAGUAUCGGAGAGGUUGGUGGAAUUCUCGGUGUAGAGGUGAAAUUCGUAGAUAUCGAGAGGAACACCGGUGGCGAAGGCGGCCAACUGGACGAAUACUGACGCUGAGACACGAAAGCGUGGGGAGCAAACAGG
rnacentral:rRNA from 1 species